UCCCUAGUGGCUCAGAUGGUAAAGUAUCUGCUUGCAAUGCAGGAGACCUAGGUUCAAUCACUGGGUUGGGAA
rnacentral:tRNA from 1 species